GCUCUUCGUGCUGAAGUUGUGCUCUUCAGCUGAGGAGGUAAGGAAACCUUCACUGGGGCUUCAAGGUGUGAAGAGGAGAAUGUUUCAAAGUGUUCCAUGGUACUCUGUUGAAGACCGUUGUGUUCCACUGGCUGAGAGGAAGAACCCUUGCAUCUUCCUCUUGGCCUUUCUCCUCGGAGAAUCCUGGCGCCUUCUUGAAGGAUAUUCCAGCUCAUGUAACUGAUGUCACGACAGAUUCUCAAACACUUGGUUUCUCCUGAGGGGCGUGUCUAUGGAACUGAAGACUUCAGACGGCACAGUAUCCCAGCAUGCAUCUCUGCUCACUCAGACCACACCCCCAUGAGUAGGAUGCAACACUCUAGUGAUGGAGAUGUAUAGUUUUAUAAGUAACGAGGGAGCAGACUAAGGUGAUAAGAACACAAUGGAAUGUCAAGUCUGUAAAUCUUUAAACCAUGAAGAUGGUUGGAUAGUUCAGGAAUUGGGCUUUUUAUUAUGGGCAGUCCUUUCACUCAGAUGCCCACGUCUCACUGGAGCUGUACAUGUGUUGGCUGGCUGGCAUGAUUUGCUGUUGGUGAUGAGGCGGUCAGGGUGACGUUGCAGGGCUAUGGUCGGCCCUCUUUGAGGUCAACGUUUAGAUUUGCUCUGUAUGGUUUGUACCCUGAAUAAUCUAGAUAAUUGUAAAAUGUAGACAGUUUUGUUUUGAAUGAUUCCAGGAUUUUAGGUUUAAUGUUGUUGUGGGACGUACAUGGUAGUUUGGUUCUUCGUAUGGUUUUGAGUGAUAUAACUUGUACACUGGGUGCAUAAUAAUGUAAAGGUACACUGAAUAGUAUUAAUGACCAACAGCAACAAACAGAUCUCCUCAAGGUAAGUCUGUUGGCUGUGUUUUAAUGAAGACCAUCGCUGGACUUCAGGAUCUUCCUCCGUUCAGCUCAAGGUGAGGCGCUGGUUAUGUUUUUUCUUUGGUUGGUUCCGGCCGGAAUGUUCGGAUUCCAGUCGGACGGUUUGUGCUUCCCGCCGUGGAAGGUUCUGAGUGAGGUCACUUGAUUUAGUCCCAAUGGUUAGCAUAGAACGUUGUAGUCUUGACAGCCAUAAGAAACCACCUGGCAGUUAGUUGGACGGGAGUCCCCUGAGGGAAUCUGGCGGAACGUUCUGGAUUGUAUUUGCGUAACCUCGAGCCGUUGCCAACGGAAACUAUUUUUCAGUCGUUUUUCAUUGGGAAUUGUUGCCCCUAUCUUAAACAACUAAAGUUUGAUAUUAAAUACAUACUGACACGUACGUCGUACAAUAUGUUGAUCAUUUCCGAUGGUUGCGCCGUACUCUUAACCACGAUGACGUUGCGGGACUCUCACUGCGUACAAAACAGCGUUCUACUUGCGGGCCUAUUUUUGACAUCAGGGAAGGCUUAAAAUCAUUUCAAAAUGGAAGAUAAUUUGACAUUUCUUCAACGGAACCAAGCACCUGAAUAUGGCUGAGUAUGUUUGAUUUAAUAUCGAUACUGCUUAGUGUUCUUUGUUACUUCAGCUUUUGUACGUUCUAAAUAUCUGCUGUCAUUAAUUGCCACAGAAGUUAAACCCUACCCAAUGGAAUGACGUUAGACAACGACUUUGGUGCAGAGUUAACAACUGGAUAUUAUAAAAGCUAAAAUAAUGGCCAUCAUUCCCACAUGUUACAGUAGAAGAUACUCUAGAACUGUACAAGGUUAAAAAGGUAACAUGUCGUUUGGCCCAAGGUGUCUGCCUCCUCACCAAGAGCAAGACCUCCACCUCCUCACCCAGAGCCAGACUUCCACCUCCUGUCAGAAGUCCUCCAGAACAGCUGAAAGGCGAGGCUGAGAGGCUGGGGACCGGAGGCUUGUGGUGCCAGGGUGGACCGGAGACUGAGGCUGGAGACCAGGGGCCUGCAGCACCGGACCAGAGGUGAACCUCAGAUGCAGGAGGUGGGGUGUGUUGCGUCCCCAGGUGAUUUACUGCUGAGACCAACUGUUUGUAACCAGACCAGGAAUCCAUGACUGAAGGAGCUGAUGGAGGAGCCGUGCUGAAGGAGCUGAUGGAGUCGUGCUGAAGGCCCUGCCUGGUUGAGGAGCUGGUGGAGGCCCUGCCUGGUGACGGACGUCUGUCGUGGGACCAGGACUCUGUCUGAGGAGAGCUGAUGGAGGAGCUGAGACGCUGGAGGACGACUAGGAAUCGACCAACAAGGAUUCCCCAACGUGUUUUUGGAGCGGAGGCGAGCUGGUAGGGGAGCCGUGAAUCUGGAGGAUGACCAUCACUCUACCAACCAGGAUUACGUUAGGGCCAGACUCACGCUGUUUGUUCCAGACCAGGACUCUGGCUGAGGAGAGCUGAUGGAGGAGCCAAGACUCUGGAGGAUGACAUCACUCUACCAACCAGGAUCCUCACCAGGAAUCUGGAGGACUGAUGGAGAAGCCGUACAUCUGGAAGGCAAAUCCUGAGGACAACCAGGACGCUACCAUUAAGGAUUCCGCACACACUUGAGCUGAACCUCACCUGAUCCUGUUUGGUCGGGGGUAGACACACCUGAGCUGAACCUCACCUGAUCCUGUUUGGUCAGGGGCAGACACACCUGAGCUGAACCCGCCCUGAUCCUGACAUCCUGACGGUCCCGUCUCCUCAGUUCAUCUGAGCCUCGUCCACCAGAAGACCUGCUGAGCUCAGCAGUCUGAGGCUGAUGGAUCAAUGACCUCCAGUGGGAGUGAUCUUCUUGACCCCACAUACCAGGAAUCCAUGGCUGAAGGAGCUGAUGGAGGAGCCGUGCUGAAGGCCCUGCCUGAUGGAGGAGCUGGUGGAGGCCCUGCCUGGUGAAGGACGUCUGUCGCGGGAUCAGGACUCUGUCGGAGGAGAGUUGAUGGAGGAGCUGAGACGCUGGAGGACGACUAGGGAAUUGACCAACAAGGAUUCCUAGUAAGUUUGUAUUUACUUACAUG